UACGAAGGGGCGAGCGUUGUUCGGAUUUAUUGGGCGUAAAGAGCUCGUAGGCGGUUUGUCGCGUCUGCCGUGAAAGUCCGGGCUCAACUCCGGAUCUGCGGUGGGUACGGGCAGACUAGAGUGAUGUAGGGGAGACUGGAAUUCCUGGUGUAGCGGUGAAAUGCGCAGAUAUCAGGAGGAACACCGAUGGCGAAGGCAGGUCUCUGGGCAUUAACUGACGCUGAGGAGCGAAAGCAUGGGGAGCGAACAGG
rnacentral:rRNA from 1 species